UGAAGACCUGCUGGAAACUGGAGACCUCAGUCUGACCCUGAAAUACCCCAGAGAUAGAGACACCAACACCUACAUCUGUGUAGUCUACGACAAGGAGGGAAAGAUACUGAUGAUUAAACAAGUGGAGCUCAGAGUGAAAGACAGAGUCCAGGUCCAGGAUGUAACGUCUCCUCUUAUGGCUGAAGAGUCAGUUUGAUCAGGUUGUUGAUCUUUGAUCAUUGAUCAGUGAAGGAUCUGAUGGACGAUGGAUGAAGAGAGGAGGACGCUCUGUCAGCUCCUGGUCCUGGUCUGAAGACUCUUUAAGGAUCAGGGUUGACCAACAUGUUGUCCUCGUUGCUCCUAGACUAUAGAUGUUUGUCCUGAUCAGCUGAACACUGAGGACAGAUUUAAAUGAGUCUUUCAAAACAAACAUUUAAAACAGAUGAAGAGACAGAAGACUGCAGCCUCCAGAGGAGAGAGUGGAGAGGUUACUGCUGGAAUUACAGGGUUAACCAGGAAACCACACACAUCCUUUACUCGGUUUGGAGACCAAACAUAGAGUCAAAAGAGAACGAGUCCUGGACCUCAUCAGAAACUGAGACAAACUCCACUGAAGGAUGGAAGCUGUUCAUCACAUCAACUUUAACAGACGUUGCACUGACUUCAUCUCUUGUUGGACGGUUUCUGGUGUCAGUCAUCGUCUCUGACUCUAGUUGUUCUGUUGUGUCCUGCUCUGUUGGUUCUAGUUGGACCUCAGUCUGCAGAACAGAUCAGUCUGAGAGAUCACUCUGAUUGGAUGAUGAGCUAGAACCAGAACCAUGAUGAUCUAGAAGGAAUGAAGACCAACUGAUCAGCUGAUUCAGGAGAGGACAGCUCUGCACCACAACAUGUAGCUUCCUAGUCAGGGAUCUACAGUGCGACAAUUUUCAUCACAUUUGCUGCUGAAAGUGGUUCAGAGUGAAGAGAAACAUGUAUCUAUUAGCACAAGUGUGAAGGAGUCGCGCUGGUAUCUUCUGUAAAAAGUAGAGGAACGUAAUAGGACUCAAAGGGCAGUUGGAAAAUCUGUUUAUGUUGCUGCACUUGUGUUUUGUUGUUGUCGUCGUUUUAGACUCUUCUCAUCACCUAUUGAGGCCAAACUGUGAUGAACUGUCCCUACACAUCUUUUUCUAGACCAUCAGUUUGGACUGAACCAGCUGAUAUUCAUUUACUCUGACCAGGGACAGGAAAGCUUCCUGAUUGUCAUGGUUCUGUGUCUGUCUGUUAUGUUGUGAUCAUGUUUUGAGUUUCCUGUUUUACUUUGUCAACUCUCUUAGUUUCCUGUCUGUGUGUCUCUUGCUUAUUAAUUGGUUUCUCGUGGUGUCAUUGCCCUCAUUAGUUUCACCUGUGUGUGUUUCACCUGUGUCUAUGAAACAUUGUGAUGUGUUCAAUACUUAUUUUACCUGCUGUGUAGUGGAAGGUCCCUGUCCUAGAAACACAGCAGCUAAUGAAUGCAGCCAAUGACCAGUGUUGUUCAAGGAGCACCUUUUGACCAAAUGUCUGUUUUUUUUUUUCAGUCCUGAAAUCGUAAAUAAAAAAUAGUUUGGUUUAAA